rnacentral:rRNA from 1 species
ACAGCAGUCGCCGCGGUAAUACGAAGGGUGCAAGCGUUAAUCGGAAUUACUGGGCGUAAAGCGUGCGUAGGCGGUGAGUUAAGUCUGCUGUGAAAUCCCCGGGCUCAACCUGGGAAUGGCAAUGGAUACUGGCAAGCUAGAGUGUGUCAGAGGAUGGUGGAAUUCCCGGUGUAGCGGUGAAAUGCGUAGAGAUCGGGAGGAACAUCAGUGGCGAAGGCGGCCAUCUGGGACAACACUGACGCUGAGGCACGAAAGCGUGGGGAGCAAACAGGAUUAGAGACCCGAGUAGUCCCUGUCUCUUAUAC